rnacentral:lncRNA from 1 species
GGGAAUACUGUGUGAGGGAGCUGCUUUCAAAAUGCUUUCCAUAGGAAAAUUUCCACUCUGAGAGUCCAUGCCUUAGGAAAUACUGGAGACUUCAGCACUGACAGCUGGAGGAUUUUUGUGGGUGAUGGACAUCAGGCAGUAAUAGGAUCAAGUGGAUGAAUGACUUGGGAAGACACUAUAAUGCUCUAAGAAACAAAAUAAAGUGAGGAGUCAGAAGCCUGGAAAUCCAAGAUGAAUACAGCUCUUGAGAAGCCCUUCUUGGUGAAGCUUCCCAGAACUUCUGUGGCAACUUGACUGAAAUCUGAGGCAUGGCCUUGCCUCAAAAGUUCUUCUGUGGAUAUGGAGCCCAAAACCCAUGUGUGUCUCUGGCCCAGAUCCAUCAAAUCC